rnacentral:rRNA from 1 species
UACGUAGGGCGCAAGCGUUGUCCGGAAUUAUUGGGCGUAAAGAGCUCGUAGGCGGCUUGUCGCGUCGGUUGUGAAAGCCCGGGGCUUAACCCCGGGUCUGCAGUCGAUACGGGCAGGCUAGAGUGUGGUAGGGGAGAUCGGAAUUCCUGGUGUAACGGUGAAAUUCGUAGAUAUCGGGAGGAACACCGGUGGCGAAGGCGGCGACCUGGGUAGAUACUGACGCUGAGGCGCGAAAGCGUGGGGAGCAAACAGG